rnacentral:rRNA from 1 species
UACAUGGGGUGCAAACGUUGCUCGGAAUUAUUGGGCGUAAAGCGCACGUAGGCGGUUCGUUAAGUCGGAUGUGAAAGCCCUCGGCUCAACUGAGGAAGUGCACCCGAAACUGGCGAGCUUGAGUACGAAAGGGGAUCGCGGAAUUCCCGGUGUAGAGGUGAAAUUCGUAGAUAUCGAGAGGAACACCAGUGGCGGAAGGCGAGUCCCUGGACACUUCCGUGACAC